GUGAGAGUUGCCCAGCCAGGUCAAAGGCGCCAGAUUCAGGGUCUGAUCUCGUAGGAGUUCGUGCUUUUGAAUCGCACCUCUCGCA
rnacentral:tRNA from 1 species